AUUGAACGCUGGCGGCAGGCUUAACACAUGCAAGUCGAGCGGAGAGAGGUAGCUUGCUACUGAUCUUAGCGGCGGACGGGUGAGUAAUGCUUAGGAAUCUGCCUAUUAGUGGGGGACAACAUUUCGAAAGGAAUGCUAAUACCGCAUACGUCCUACGGGAGAAAGCAGGGGAUCUUCGGACCUUGUGCUAAUAGAUGAGCCUAAGUCGGAUUAGCUAGUUGGUGGGGUAAAGGCCUACCAAGGCGACGAUCUGUAGCGGGUCUGAGAGGAUGAUCCGCCACACUGGGACUGAGACACGGCCCCGACUCCUACGAGAGGCAGCAGUGGGGAAUAUUGGACAAUGGGCGCAAGCCUGAUCCAGCCAUGCCGCGUGUGUGAAGAAGGCCUUAUGGUUGUAAAGCACUUUAAGCGAGGAGGAGGCUACUUUAGUUAAUACCUAGAGAUAGUGGACGUUACUCGCAGAAUAAGCACCGGCUAACUCUGUGCCAGCAGCCGCCGUAAAAC
rnacentral:rRNA from 1 species